rnacentral:rRNA from 1 species
AUUGAACGCUGGCGGCAUGCCUUACACAUGCAAGUCGAACGGCAGCACGGGAGCAAUCCUGGUGGCGAGUGGCGAACGGGUGAGUAAAGCAUCGGACGUGCCCAGUCGUGGGGGAUAACGUAGCGAAAGCUACGCUAAUACCGCAUACGAUCUGUGGAUGAAAGCGGGGGCACGUAAGGCCUCGCGCGAUUGGAGCGGCCGAUGUCAGAUUAGGUAGUAGGUGGGGUUAAGGCUCACCAAGCCGGCGAUCUGUAGCUGGUCCGAACGGACGACCAGCCAGAAUGGGACUGCGACACGGCACAGACUCCUACGUGGAGCAGCAGUGGGGAAUGUUGGACAAUGGGCUCCAGCCUGAUCCAGCAAUGCCGCGUGAAGGAUGAAGGCCUUCGGAUUGUAAACUGCUUUUGUACGGAGCGAAACGGCUUCCACUAAUACUGGGUGCUAAUGACGGUACCGUAAGAAUAAGCGCCGACUAACUACGUGCCAGCCGCCGCGGUAA